rnacentral:rRNA from 1 species
GACGAACGCUGGCGGCGUGCUUAACACAUGCAAGUCGAACGCUGAAGCUCAGCUUUUGUUGGGUGGAUGAGUGGCGAACGGGUGAGUAACACGUGAGUAACUUGCCCCCUUCUUUGGGAUAACGCCCGGAAACGGGUGCUAAUACUGGAUAUUCACUGGUCUUCGCAUGGGGGUUGGUGGAAAGGGUUUUUCUGGUGGGGGAUGGGCUCGCGGCCUAUCAGCUUGUUGGUGGGGUGAUGGCCUACCAAGGCUUUGACGGGUAGCCGGCCUGAGAGGGUGACCGGUCACAUUGGGACUGAGAUACGGCCCAGACUCCUACGGGAGGCAGCAGUGGGGAAUAUUGCACAAUGGGCGCAAGCCUGAUGCAGCGACGCCGCGUGAGGGAUGGAGGCCUUCGGGUUGUGAACCUCUUUCGCUCAUGGUCAAGCCGCAACAAUGGUUGUGGUGAGGGUAGUGGGGAAAGAAGCGCCGGCGAACUACGU